ensembl:lncRNA
AAAUAAAAUAAAAAUAAUAAUAAUAAUAAAAAAGAAAAAUUGAAAAAAGAAAAAGACCUUUCCAUAUUUACUUCUCUCCCUUUAAUAUACAACACACAGUAAAAUAUACAUUACAAAGAAGCAUUGAUAUUAUUGACAUUGAACAAAGUAUAAAAGAUUUUAAGGCUUUGGCAUUAUUGAAGAUCUAAGUUACAUUUCAGGUCUUUACAACAAAAAAUAAUAAAAAGAAGUUUCACAGAAAAAAAAAAAAGUUUAAAAAUUGUCCAGAAAAAUAAAUCGAUUUAUUAGGAAAUAUUUGUCUUCUAUAAAAACCAAAUAACACAUCUUUAAACACCAAAGAAAAAAAAAACACAAAUAAGUAACUCACAGCUACAACAGACAUUAACAACAACACAAAAAUGAUGAAGAACCAGGAAAAUGGUUACACAAAAGAGGUUAUGUGCAUUUCUUCACUCAUACACAUUCUCAAUGGUAACUGAAAAUAAAUAAAGUGAAUAGUGAUUAAUAAUAAGCUCGGGAGGAGACGGUAAAGGGGGCUGUAAGAGGCCACUAAAAAUCUACAAUUUUUAUCAUUUAGAAACAUAAAUAUAUUUGUAUAAAGUCUUAUAUAAGAAAUAAUAUUAAAAAAACUCCCAUCUAUCUAUAUUUUGUGCUCUCCGUCCAAUUCAGUACAUAACUGAACUCACACAAUGAAACAUAACUCUGUGGUCCCAAUAUGACAGUUUUCAUAUUUUGUACUUGUGCAUUAAAGGGGUCAUAUGAUGCUGCUAAAAAGAACAUUAUUUUGUGUAUUUGGUGUGUGGAAUUACAAAUAUUUAAAAUCUUAAAUCUAGGUUCCAAUGUAAUAGUUUAUAAACUAAAAAAGUUAUGUACAUUGUGUUUUACAUUUUGAGGUAAAAAAAGGAUCAAAUCAGGAAGCCCAGGUGUCUGAGAUAAUGAUCUUUUGUCUUUGUGCUCUUCCUUGCCAUUUGGCUUUUUAAGACUGAUUGGAUUAGCACCUAUGCAUUUGAAGGACACUGUUAUGCUGAUGAGAUCAGCGAUGGGGAAACUCCUGUAACAGGAGUUUCCUGUACUGCAUUUGCAUGCUUUGCUUAGAUGGUCUCCACCUCUAUGUAUGCCUCCCCCUUGAAAUGUAUAUAAACCACAAUGUAUCAAUGACUAGUUAGACUUUUGAUGACUUCAGCGCCAUCCAGCGCGUUCUCAAUAAAGAAUUCUGCUGAAGAUUACCCAAGAGUCUCCUGGUCUUCACUUUUGAGUUUCCAACAGGUGUAAUGAAAUGUGUUUAUGCGGUUUAAGGUUUAAAAAAACACAUUAUUUUCCACAUACUGUACAUUAUUGUUUCUCCUCUAUGCCCCGCCUUCUGAAACGUGUCGAUUUUCACAAAGCUUAUCACUCUGAAAAGCGAGGUGUGCUGUGAUUGGCCAGCUAUCCAGUGCGUUGUUAUUGGCCGAAUGCCUCAAGGAUGUGACGGAAAUGCUACACCCCUCACCAUACUGUGAUGCCCUGUCCGGCCGGAGCGAAGAGACGUAAACAUAAAACCCAUUAUAAACGUGAUAUAAACAUGAUUUCUAGUCGUGUUUACUUUUGGAAGGCCAAACAAAGUAGUUUUGCUUUCUCAACGAAACAACGUCACACACUGCAGCCUUGAGUGAGUGAAGACUGGAGGCCUAGAGUGAGCGGAGGCUGGAGGUCUAGAGUGAGCGGAGGCUGGAGGUCUAGAGUGAGCCGCGGUCUAGAGUGAGCGGAGGCUGGAGGUCUAGAGUGAGCCGCGGUCUAGAGUGAGCGGAGGCUGGAGGUCUAGAGUGAGCCGCGGUCUAGAGUGAGCGGAGGCUGGAGGUCUAGAGUGAGCCGCGAUCUAGAGUGAGCGGAGGCUGGAGGUCUAGAGUGAGCGGAGGCUGCAGGUCUAGAGUGAGCAGAGGCUGGUGGCUUGAGAACGGUGCGGCAGGCAGAUUCUACGAAGGAGCGUACCUUGGUCUUGCAGCAACCACAUGUGAUGACCCUGGGCUGGACGCCGCUUCGUACAUGGUGAAAGCUGAUCCUGCGAUCCACAGUGCAAAGUUGAUGUAUAUCCUCAGCGACCAGCACGGAUCAGCUCCAGGCAUAACGAAGCGGAUAUCGUCCUCUUUUGGAAGUAGUUUUGCUUUCACAUGAAACACACAGCGUCUAUACGACAUGGCGGCGGCGGCGGCAACAACAAUACUACAACGAGAAUAAAAGCUACACCUUCUUUCUUUGUGUGAACAUCUAGGCCCGUGUUAUGCAAAUCUUCACACAUACUGACGUAGAGAUGUGGGGCGUGUUAGAACAAGCCGUUUCAGGGGGGCGUGGACGAGUGUUAACUUUUAAAAGAAUAUCUCUUUGGGUUUGAGACUUUAGUCUUUGCAGCUUUACAGAUCUUCUUUAUGCACCAAGAGCUUGUAACACUCCAAAGAGAAAGGAAAAUUUGAAAUCGCAUCAUGUGACCUCUUUAAACAGGCAGCUUCCAGUAACAUGAAUGACACUCUAACAAUCAUGUUCAUGUGUUUAAAUGGAGUCAGUGUUUUAAUUAUUAGGAUGACUGUAAUCGUUCAAUCUCAGGUUUUUACAGUUCAUAGGUCACUUCUCCAGAAUAAAAAGGACAAGUUGAAUGCUUUUGGUCACUCUCCUGUACGGGCUUGCUAUCUGUAGUUUCCACUGUGGGUGAUGCCUUCUUCUUACAGCAGAAAAGAAGAAGACGAAAGCAAAUGAAGAGUGAGAAACAAAUAAAGAGUGAGAAAGAUGAGAUCAGACCAAGGCGAGUUCGUUUUUCGUUGCUGGUGCUCUCAGUCUGGUCUCCUCCUGCACUGGUGAGCUUCUCUGCAUCAAAUCAAAG